AUCUAAUCUUCAGGACAUCACCCACUUUUGGGCGUGGUUUCCCCACUUUUAGAUUUGAAUAAGGUAAUUCGGAUGGAACAAAAAUACCUGAAAUAUGAUGCAGAUGGUGGCAUCGCCGUAUAUGGCGAACAAAAACUCAUGAUGCACCCGUGUGCAUCACCGUACUGAGCGGACAGUCAAGCAUAAUGCACACGGGUGCAUCACCGUACCGAAGGGGUUAAGGUUAAAGCAAUAAAUAAAUCGUCAGUUUGUAAAAAAAAUUAACAUCCCUUAUCUAAACGAAGCGUUUGCAGACAUAUGAUUAUAAAGCAAACUGUCAUUAUUUUCUCAUGUAAAAUUACCACUUAAAGUUUGUCGCACUUAUUUAGAAACACCCUGUACUGUUAAUGAACAUGGCCAGUUGUUAAAGUACAGCAAUAUUAUUACAGCGAUUAUGAAUAAGGCUACAGCGUUAAUUAAUAGGGCUAUAACAUGGUAAAACAAUCACUUAUAUCGGACGACAGGUUUAGGAAAUUCGAGACUUCAAAAAUAAAAAAAAAAUUAAGUGGAUCGAUUUCUUUACACCUGAGUGCACAUAUUUUCACCUAAAUUCAUUUAUUACAAGGUUUAGUAUUUUGAUAGUAUUCUACGAAAUUCAUGAUUAAAAUAACUUUGUGUUUGACAUAACCAAUUAUGUAUAUGUAAUAAAUCACAAAUUGAAUAAUAUAGUAAUUAAAUUUCUA
rnacentral:lncRNA from 1 species